CCUACGGGAGGCAGCAGUGGGGAAUAUUGGGCAAUGGGCGCAAGCCUGACCCAGCAACGCCGCGUGAAGGAAGAAGGCUUUCGGGUUGUAAACUUCUUUUGACAGGGAAGAGCAGAAGACGGUACCUGUCGAAUAAGCCACGGCUAACUACGUGCGAGCAGCCGCGGUAAUACGUAGGUGGCAAGCGUUGUCCGGAUUUACUGGGUGUAAAGGGCGGGUAGCCGGGCGGCCAAGUCAGAUGUGAAAGCCGGGGGCUCAACCCCCGAAAUGCAUUUGAAACUGUUGGUCUUGAGUAUCGGAGAGGCAGGUGGAAUUCCUAGUGUAGCGGUGAAAUGCGUAGAUAUUAGGAGGAACACCAGUGGCGAAGGCGGCCUUCUGGACGACAACUGACGGUGAGGCGCGAAAGCGUGGGGAGCAAACAGGAUUAGAUACCCUAGUAGUC
rnacentral:rRNA from 1 species